AAUAGCUACGCAUUAGAGCUAAACAUUAUUUAGCGCGCCGGCGGAGCGCCGCUCACUUCCGACGAAUCCCGCGAGCGCACAAGCCUUGAACCAAACCGUAAAAUCAGCCACCGUAGGCCUGCUUUUCCCCCCGCAAUUUCCUCCCGUCAUUCUUCGUUGUUUUUUCCUCGCCAGGCGAUUUCCGGCGAUGACGGACCGACUCCGUGGAUUCGCGACGGCGCCGAUGAUGCGUCCAAUCCAGUUGACGGCAACCCCUGCCCUUCUCUCCGUCAUCUCUCCUCUCUCCUGACACAGAUCGAGAUGAGGAGGAAUUUAGGCGGCGGCGCACGGCAGCUGGCAGCGCUCGGUUGCCCCCUUCUCAUUGGCGUUGAUGUCUUCUCUGGAGGCCAGAGCUUCCGGAGCGUCGCUGCAGCCGUCAGCUCCCACUCACCCUCCUCUGCAUCCAGCUGAGGCGCUGGGAUGGUGGUGUGGCGGCCACGUGAGCACGGUGAUGUACCGGCGAGGCGGAGAUUCCCAGAGUUCCCACGACAUGGCUACUGCUCCCCUAGAUCUCGGCGUUCGAGAUCCAUCUCGUCACGGGGACAGCGGCGGGCUCUCUUCCAGGCUGCAGCUCCUCCGCUCCCUACCAUGCCAAGUCUAGUGAGAUAUGGUAUGUCCUGGCAGAGGGAUUGCUGCAUAUUACUUGCUCGAUCUGUCUGAAUCUAAUGGAGCGAACUCAUCGGAUGCUCUCUAGUGGGGUAGCCAAUAUUGGAUAAACAAUGCAUUCUGCCCAUGUUCACUAAAACAAAUUUACAUAGCCAGGAACUCUGCACCUCUGCAGAUUCAAGGUUUUCACAUUGCAUUUUGGCUUCUUGAUCUAGAGGACCGUCCAAGUGCUCAAGAUAUCCACUGCAGCAUUCAGCGCAUGACUUUGGAGAUAUGCUGCAUUGGAAUUGAAGUUGUGAUGGAUUUUGGCACCAUCGCUUAUCCUCAGCACCUAACCGCUGCUACCUAGCAUUCUGAAAUGAACAUAUCAUAUGCACUGUUUGAUCAUCGUGAUUUUUGUGAUCAGCUUGUGUGCCAUAUGCUAGAUUAAAUGAUGAUUUAUGUAUAAACAAGUUUGAUUCUGCGAUA